ensembl:snoRNA
AAGACUAUACUUUCAGGGAUCGUUUCUAUAGUUCUUAACUCGAGAAAUGUGUUUCUAAAGUGUAUGUUCUCGCCAACCACGAUGAUGAAGUGGUGAUACUCUUUUCUGAGCGCGAAGCGGGUGGAGAGAUUUGAUUUAUAUCAUAUGCUUUCUGCUUUUGAUGACCGUUCACUGUCUCUUCUGGGGACAAUGAGGAAAGGAGUAUGAUCAGAGUGGUA